rnacentral:rRNA from 1 species
CCUACGGGGGGCUGCAGUGGGGAAUAUUGGACAAUGGGGGCAACCCUGAUCCAGCCAUGCCGCGUGUGUGAAGAAGGCCCUCGGGUUGUAAAGCACUUUCAGUGAGGAAGAACGCCUGGUGGUUAAUACCCAUCAGGAAAGACAUCACUCACAGAAGAAGCACCGGCUAACUCCGUGCCAGCAGCCGCGGUAAUACGGAGGGUGCGAGCGAUAAUCGGAAUUACUGGGCGUAAAGCGCGCGUAGGUGGCUUGAUAAGCCGGUUGUGAAAGCCCCGGGCUCAACCUGGGAACGGCAUCCGGAACUGUCAAGCUAGAGUGCAGGAGAGGAAGGUAGAAUUCCCGGUGUAGCGGUGAAAUGCGUAGAGAUCGGGAGGAAUACCAGUGGCGAAGGCGGCCUUCUGGACUGACACUGACACUGAGGUGCGAAAGCGUGGGUAGCAAACAGGAUUAGAUACCCGUGUAGUC